GAUGAACGCUGGCGGCGUGCCUAAUACAUGCAAGUCGAGCGAACAGACGAGGAGCUUGCUCCUCUGACGUUAGCGGCGGACGGGUGAGUAACACGUGUAUAACCUACCUAUAAGACUGGUAUAACUUCGGGAAACCGGAGCUAAUACCGUAUAAGAUAUUGAACCGCAUUGUGCAAUAGUGAAAGACGGUUUUGCUGUCACUUAUAGAUGGAUCCGCGCCGCAUUAGCUAGUUGGUAAGGUAACGGCUUACCAAGGCAACGAUGCGUAGCCGACCGGAGAGGGUGAUAGGCGACCCUGGAACUGAGACAGGGUCCAGACUACUAAGGGAGGGAGCAGUAGGGAAUCUUCCGCAAUGGGCGAGAGUAUGACGGAGCAACGCCGAGUGAGUGAUGACGGUCUUCGGAUCGUAAAACUGUGUUAUUAGGGAAGAACAAAUGUGUACGUAACUAUGCACGUCUUGACGGUACCUAAUCAGAAAGCCACGGCUAACUACGUG
rnacentral:rRNA from 1 species